rnacentral:rRNA from 1 species
AUACGUAGGUGGCAAGCGUUGUCCGGAAUUAUUGGGCGUAAAGCGCAUGUAGGCGGUAAUUUAAGUCUGUCGUGAAACUGCGGGGCUCAGCCCCGUAUGGCGAUGGAAACUGGGUUACUUGAGUGCAGGAGAGGAAAGGGGAACUCCCAGUGUAGGGGGGAAAUGCGUAGAUAUUGGGAAGAACACCGGUGGCGAAGGCGCCUUUCUGGACUGUGUCUGACGCUGAGAUGCGAAAGCCAGGGUAGCGAACGGGAUUAGAUACCCCGGUAGUCCUGGCCGUAAACGAUGGGUACUAGGUGUGGGAGGUAUCGACCCCUUCCGUGCCGGAGUUAACGCAAUAAGUACCCCGCCUGGGGAGUACGGCCGCAAGGCUUAAACUCAAAGGAAUUGACGGGG